GUUUCAAUGACAUGGAGUAAGUAUUCAGAAUAAUUGUAUACUUGUAGCUAAUUUGUGUUAUUUAUUCCUCUGUAGGAGGUAAAAACAUUUUCAAAAAGCUGAGUAAAAACCCUUAAGUUUAUUUCCUUAGUUUUGAUUAAUCCAAAAGCUAAACCAGUUCCUUUUUCCUCAAAAAGACUAGGCAAAAAGCCAUCUAUCAAAGAUUGAAAAAACUCAUUUGCAGGACAUGCUUAACUGAGUUAUGAGGGAGAAUGAUGUCUGUGUCAUAUGAACAAUAAAACUGGGUUAAUCAACUUAGUCAAUCAACCACAAAAGGUUUAGAUUUAGUCCCAAAUAGCCAAUCUCUCUUGUUGUUGAAGUUUAAUUUUAAAAAUUCCAAUAUGCAUUUCCCCCUUGCUUUUUUCAAGGAAUAAAGCCAUAGUAGCUUUGUAAGAUUAGAGAGACAUUUGGGACCACUGUUUGCUGAUGUAAGAUUGAUAGUUUAGAGUUGCUCUUAAUUUCACUUUCUGUCCUUUCCAUUUUAUAUUUCAGAACAGCUAUGAUUCUGGAGCUUAUGGAGGGAUAUGUAUUAGCAAAUGUACAGAUGCUCUGACCAGUUUUGAGAAGAACUCAAAAUUCAAUGCUAGGAUUCCAGAAACAUUCAACAUUUCGAGAAUAUGGGAGAUGACAUGUCUGUUCCUCCUGACUGAAAAUUUCCUUGGAGAGGACAUUGCAAGAGAGGACAACAUGGAGUUCAAAGUUGCAAGAUGCUUAUUUGAGUCUACAUGCUAAAAUGGCAUCUCAACUUCCUGCUCUUAACCGGGCAGGGAGGACAGAAUCAGCAUCUACAGUCAGUUCUGCUGGGUGCCUCUAUUUUGGCAGUUCUCAAAGGUACCAAGGGAUGGCCCUAUUCUGCUUUGCUCCUCUCUCCCAAAAUGGAUGCAUAAAUGAAGUGGAUAUUCCUCAAAGCUGGUCUACAGUGCUUUCUCAAAGACAGAUGACCCCUGGGGACCACAAAUCACUAACAUGCCCUCUUCUGUUCUAUAUUUAGAAUGGCAGAAGUUUUGUUAACAACAAGGUUGGCGACAACAGCUUCAAUGACAAUGGCAAUUCUGUUAAUGGACCUGAAAUCUGGGUAAGCUUAUAUAAUUCUGAACCUCUCUGUUCAGGACUUCAUUCUGUUAAGUAGCUUCCUGCUGCUGAGAUCCCAAUGUCCAACUCUGGUCAACUUCCCUUUCUGCUGUGGGAUCCAUCAUAACUUAGACUGCUGAUUUUGCCUAAAAGGAAGUUCAUUUUGUUAUGAAACCAUGGCUGGGGAGCAGGAAACAGCAUAAAGCAAUAUUACAACCUCCUUGUUGAAACAGAUCAGAAAUCUACCUGAUUUAGAACCCUGCUCCCAGUGGGAAGUUCCCAAUCAGAUAUGGAGUCAAGAGCCUUGGUUAUUUGUCCCCAGCAUCAACAGCUUCAAGCCGUUGAGCCUGCACAAUCACCAUAUUCUUAUUCUUAUCUCUAAGAUACUCCAGAUGUUACCAAGCGCUUCCUUCUCCAUAAAUGAGAAAUGAAUCCAGUAAUUGUGUACAGAUCUUCUUAUUGUAAAUGAUGGUGAUGAUUACUUACUGAGAGUCUCAUGAUAUUUAAAUUUUAAGGAUGUUUUAUUUUCUUCUUUAUAGUACUAAUAACCUACCAGCAGAGUUCCAGAUGCCCUCUGCUCAGACGUUUUGCCAAGGAUAUUGUUGCUGACUCAAAUGAUUCUUUUUACUUGGUGUUGAACCUUUCUCUGCUACUGACUAUGCUUCUUCUUGCAAAUAAUAAACAUGACCUUGCAGAACAGUUGUGCCGCAAAGUGAACUUUGUUACCUCCUUAAUCCAUCUACAACCCAGUGGAUUAAAAGGGUCCUGUGGAUCAAUCCAAAAGCUAAACCGAUACCGUUUUUUUUUUCCACAAAAGAAUUGGGCACAAAGCCAUCCAUCAAAGAUUUGGGGAACUCAUAGGCUUUAAUUGGGUUAGAGGGGGAAGAAAACGGUGUCAAUUGACUCAGUCAAUUAACCCCGAGAGGAUCAGGUUUAAUCUGUAAUAGACUCUGUUUUCUCUGGGAUUAAACUAACUCCUCCACAGCAA